UGCGAGCGUGACGGCGCGAGCAGGUGCGAAAGCAGGUCAUAGUGAUCCGGUGGUUCUGAAUGGAAGGGCCAUCGCUCAACGGAUAAAAGGUACUCCGGGGAUAACAGGCUGAUACCGCCCAAGAGUUCAUAUCGACGGCGGUGUUUGGCACCUCGAUGUCGGCUCAUCACAUCCUGGGGCUGAAGUAGGUCCCAAGGGUAUGGCUGUUCGCCAUUUAAAGUGGUACGCGAGCUGGGUUUAGAACGUCGUGAGACAGUUCGGUCCCUAUCUGCCGUGGGCGCUGGAGAACUGAGGGGGGCUGCUCCUAGUACGAGAGGACCGGAGUGGACGCAUCACUGGUGUUCGGGUUGUCAUGCCAAUGGCACUGCCCGGUAGCUAAAUGCGGAAGAGAUAAGUGCUGAAAGCAUCUAAGCACGAAACUUGCCCCGAGAUGAGUUCUCCCUGACCCUUUAAGGGUCCUGAAGGAACGUUGAAGACGACGACGUUGAUAGGCCGGGUGUGUAAGCGCAGCGAUGCGUUGAGCUAACCGGUACUAAUGAACCGUGAGG
rnacentral:rRNA from 1 species